rnacentral:rRNA from 1 species
GUUUACAACCAUAUCAUGUUGAACAUACAAGUUCUCAUCAGAUCAUGAUAGCUUAGUGAUGUUGAUCCUGGGUGGUACUAAUAUGCAUCACGACUUGAGAAAUCUAAGUGUUUUAUCUU